UGCGGGCGGGGCGGGGAUGCUGAGGGGCUGCUAGGAGGCGGCGGGGCUGCGCACGGCUGGAUGCCCCGGGCCUGCAGCUCCCUUCGCUUCCCGCCGUCCAGGGGCGCCAGCUAUGGGCGCCGCAGCCGCUGAGGCGCCGCUCCGGCUGCCGGCCGCGCCCCCGCUCGCCUUCUGCUGUUACACGUCGGUGCUUCUGCUCUUCGCCUUCUCCCUGCCCGGCAGCCGUGCGUCCAACCAGCCCCCGGGUGGCGGCGGCGGCGGCGGCGGCGGGGACUGUCCCGGUGGCAAAGGCAAGAGCAUCAACUGCUCAGAAUUAAAUGUAAGGGAAUCUGAUGUAAGAGUUUGUGAUGAAUCAUCAUGUAAAUAUGGAGGAGUUUGUAAAGAAGAUGGAGAUGGUUUGAAAUGUGCAUGUCAAUUUCAGUGUCAUACAAAUUACAUUCCCGUCUGUGGAUCAAAUGGGGACACUUAUCAAAAUGAGUGCUUUCUUAGAAGGGCUGCUUGUAAGCACCAGAAAGAGAUAACAGUAGUAGCACGAGGACCAUGCUACUCUGAUAAUGGCUCUGGAUCUGGAGAAGGAGAAGAGGAAGGUUCAGGGGCAGAAGCUCACAGAAAACACUCCAAGUGUGGACCUUGCAAAUAUAAAGCUGAAUGUGAUGAAGAUGCAGAAAAUGUUGGGUGUGUAUGUAAUAUAGACUGCAGCGGAUACAGCUUUAAUCCCGUGUGUGCUUCUGACGGGAGCUCCUAUAACAACCCCUGUUUUGUUCGAGAGGCAUCUUGUUUAAAGCAAGAACAAAUUGAUAUAAGGCACCUUGGCCAUUGCACAGACACAGAUGAUACUAGUUUGUUGGGAAAGAAAGAUGACGGACUACAAUACCUACCAGAUGUGAAAGAUGCUAGUGAUCAAAGAGAAGAUGUUUAUAUUGGAAACCACAUGCCUUGCCCUGAAAACCUCAAUGGUUUCUGCAUCCAUGGUAAAUGUGAAUUCAUCUAUUCUACUCAGAAGGCUUCUUGUAGAUGUGAAUCUGGUUACACUGGACAGCACUGUGAAAAGACAGACUUUAGUAUUCUCUACGUAGUGCCAAGUAGGCAGAAACUCACUCAUGUUCUUAUUGCAGCCAUUAUUGGAGCUGUGCAGAUUGCCAUUAUAGUAGCAAUUGUCAUGUGCAUAACGAGAAAAUGCCCCAAAAACAAUAGAGGACGUCGACAGAAGCAAAACCUAGGUCAUUUUACUUCAGAUACAUCAUCUAGAAUGGUUUAAGCUGAUGACUUUUAUAUGUACACUGACCACGUGAUGUACAUUUAUUAUGUCUUUUUUUAAAGAAUGAAAAUAUUUAUUUCAGAGGCCUUAUUUUUGGACAUUUUUAGUGUAGUACUGUUGGCUCGUAUUUAGAAUAUUCAACUACAACAGUUUUGGACUGUUCAGUAGUCUUUGUUUUGUUUUUAAAUACAGAAAUUAAUUUGACAAAUUUGUACCACAUGGUAAUUCUAAGAUUUGUUCUUUACCCAUGGAAUGUAAUAUUUUUGCAAAGAUGGACCCACUUCACAAAUGGUUAUAAAGUCAUACUCACUUCUUCCACAAUGACCACAGCAAAUGACCAAGCAUGAACUAAAGAUUUGUGGUGGACAACAGCAACUUUUACAGCAUGAGGCAUACGACUGGCUCUGUUAUCAAGUAGCUUUAUUUCUUGCUUUGCUUUUCUUUCCCCCCCCCUUUUCUUUCUUUCCUUCUUUUUUUUUAAACUGGAGAUUGGACACAAGUCCUUCACAUUGAGCUUCAUAUAUCCUCAGCCUGUUUUGAGAUAGGCUGUCUCUUGCUAAGUUGCCCAGGCUAGCCUUGAAUUCCUUCUGCAUUAGCCUCCCGUGUAGCUGGGAUUGUAAGAGUGUGCCACCAUGCUUGGCUGUCAAGUGGCCUUUCUAAAGUCUUCUCUGUUGCAGUGAGUUUGGAAAUGACCUCCAGAAUUUCUCCUCUCCAGGGUGAAGCAUUCACGGUCCAGCUGUAUAAUACAGUGUGUGUAGGUGUUCAUCAUAGCUCCUUGAGGUAGCCAGAUUUUACUUAGCUUUUGGCUUUUAGAUAGGAAGUAGAUUUAUUCCAAAGAAAGGAAGAUGGUCACACUGGCUGUAUGGUUCUAGUACAUUUAAAUUCUGGGUUCUUUUUUUUUACUAUGAAAGAAAUGAUGGAAUUGUUGAAUUUGAUCAUAAUCAGCUACUCCAGUUUUUAGACUUUCAGAUCAGUUUUGAAUCAUCAUGUAGUAACUAAAAAUAAUAUAUACGUAUGUACACAGGCACACAUAAAAUAUUUUACUUGAUUAUCCAGAUAUUUUAGUUUAGGAGUUUGAUUCAAUGUUACUUUCUAUUCACUCUACCCAAAUACAUAAAAUUGUAAAUGGUCAUCUUAUUAUCUUUCUGUAUUGAAAACUAAAGUGUAUACACUGGAAUAAAAUUUUAAAAUAACAAUUCUAAAAACAUUUUUAACACAGCUUAGAAGAAGCUUGGCUGCCUAAUCACGUAUUUCCUUAAGAGUCAUAAUAAAUUUGAAUUUAAAAAGACA